rnacentral:rRNA from 1 species
UACGGGGGGGGCAAGCGUUGUUCGGAAUUACUGGGCGUAAAGGGCUCGUAGGCGGCCAACUAAGUCAGACGUGAAAUCCCUCGGACUUAACCGGGGAACUGCCGGUCUGAUACUGGUUGGCUUGAAUCCGGGAGAGGGAUGUGGAAUUCCAGGUGUAGCGGUGAAAUUCGAUAGAUAUUCGCAAGAACACCAGUGGCGAAGGCGGCUCACUGGCCCGAUACUGACGCUGAGGCACGAAAGCGUGGGGAGCAAACAGG